GACGAACGCUGGCGGCGUGCUUAACACAUGCAAGUCGAACGGAAAGGCCCUGCUUUUGUUGGGUGCUCGAGUGGCGAACGGGUGAGUAACACGUGAGUAACCUGCCCUUGACUUUGGGAUAACUUCAGGAAACUGGGGCUAAUACCGGAUAGGAGCUCCUGCUGCAUGGUGGGGGUUGGAAAGUUUCGGCGGUUGGGGAUGGACUCGCGGCUUAUCAGCUUGUUGGUGGGGUAGUGGCUUACCAAGGCUUUGACGGGUAGCCGGCCUGAGAGGGUGACCGGCCACAUUGGGACUGAGAUACGGCCCAGACUCCUACGGGAGGCAGCAGUGGGGAAUAUUGCAAAAUGGGCGGAAGCCUGAUGCAGCAACGCCGCGUGCGGGAUGACGGCCUUCGGGUUGUAAACCGCUUUCGCCUGUGACGAAGCGUGAGUGACGGUAAUGGGUAAAGAAGCACCGGCUAACUACGUG
rnacentral:rRNA from 1 species